CCCAACUAUCCCUAUUAAUCAUUACGGUGAUCCUAGAAACCAACAAAAUAGAACCAUGCCGUCCUAUUUUAUUAUUCCAUGCUAAUGUAUUCAGGCACUAGCCUGCUUUGAGCACUCUAAUUUUUUCAAGGUAACAGUCCUGCUUCCCCGACCCACCAAAUUAAUGGCAAAUCGGUUAUUCAGAAGGUAGGAAUCCAUCGCAACAGUGCGGACCGAAAAAGCCCGACCGAUGGACAGACCCCGAAAUUCAA
rnacentral:rRNA from 1 species